rnacentral:rRNA from 1 species
UCGCAGGCUGCAACUCGCCUGCGUCAAGUUGGAAUUGCUAGUAAUCGCGGAUCAGCAUGCCGCGGUGAAUACGUUCCCGGGCCUUGUACACACCGCCCGUCACACCAUGAGAGUCGGGAACACCCGAAGUCCGUAGUCUAACCGCAAGGAGGGCGCGGCCGAAGGUGGGUUCGAUAAUUGGGGUGAAGUCGUAACAAGGUACC